UAGGAAAUCUAAUCAGCUUCUAAUUUUGAACAAACGAUAUCAUGCCUCCUGAUUGGUUUAAUACAAAUAUAUCGUCAACGCCACAUUUAUAACAUAUAAUUUUCUUUGGUAUUUUUGUAUUUUGAUUGUGUUUUUCCUCUCACGACCAUAUGACCUUAUUUGGUAUUCCUUAAAUAGAGAACACUACCUAGACUUCAGUUGCACUUCACAGCCAAUUACUAGUAGUUAGUGAAAUAACUUAACUUCUUGGACGCUGAUUCAUGUAACUUUGCGAAUGCUUAUAUAAUUAUGUGAAAGUGUGUUGGAGCAGCAUGUCUGUGGAGAAUGUGGCAGCACCUCCUCCACCUCCAUCACUGGCUCGCUCAGUGCCCAGCAAGAAGAAGCUUUACCAGGCUUUAGCAGAGGGAAGGGCCCCUGUAGAAGGGGACCAUGAAGAGGCCAGAAUUAUUCUAGGACAGAGAGAGCAGUUUUAGGAAGGAUCUGCAGUGGUUGCUGUUCAAUAAGUAUGUGCCUUCGCUUAUUCAAGAUGGUCCACAAUGUGGUCUUGUGGCCUUAUGGAUGGCGACUCAUCUUCUGCAGCCUCCUAAGACAGUGGUGCUGGAGACACUGGUCCAGAUGGCAAAAGACAACGGCUACACUAAACAAGGAGAAAUGUUUUCUGCUAGUGACAUGGCCAAGCUGGCGGAGGAAGUGUGUGGGUGCAGAGUUCAGAGGUUAUCAGGAGGCAUGAUGGGAGAAAACACUGCUGUCAUUCUUAAACACCUCGCUGGCGGGCAACCUGUUCUUAUACCGUAUCUUAACUACUUACAUAUUUGAUUAUUCAUG